UGUAUCUGUUCAAACACUUUGGCUGAAGACAAUAGCCAGUGCUGAUUUGCUGUUGUCUGGGCUGAGGAAAGAAAACUAAAGCAGUUAGCAAACUGUUAACAAGCUGUUAGCAAACGGAUCUUUUUUCUUUAUUAAAUGUAAUCAUACACCAAAGUUUUUCUUCUGAACUGUAUUCUUUCAGGUUUGAAAUGGAAAAAGGAAAAAAGUAAACUCAUUAAAAAAUAUAUAUGUUCCCUUGAGAUCGCUCUCAACAUACGUUUCUACAAAUUGCCAAGCAUGAGAGGAGCAAGAGGAAUGAAGCUGCUCACAGCUGAGUUCCUGGGCCUGCCCAACGUCUCAGUGAUGAGGAGCACAUGUAUAAAACAAGAAGAGUUUUGGGGAAACGGAGUGAACAACUGUACUCAUCUGGACAACUUGCAUCCUUGUCUUUGCCACAGAUUUCCUCUGGCACGAAACAUUUCCCACAUCACUAAUAUUAAUUCAGUUCCUUUGCCAUCACUUUCAGGUUGAGGAACCAUAACAAGCAUCUGCACAUCAAACAUCAGUUUUAUGUGUUGUGCUUUUUUCUAAGCAACAUAGAGUUUUACCAAUUAUCUUCUGAAAAACAAGCAUCGCAUUGAAAAUGUAGUGUGUAAAACCAUUUAUGAUGAAUGAUGGCCUGUUCUUAAUUAGAUAAUUUUAUAGCCUACAGUGUUCAUCUAUUUUUAGUAUAUAUUAUCUUUUCUCUAACUAUGGCUUGUAAUUUUAAAGAGAUUAAAAGCAGUUGGAUGUAAACUUUUCUGACUUAAUUGUAGUUAAUUAUUAUUUGGAAAUAUUAUUAAAAUCAGUAAAUGCAGAUUCAGCCUCACUGAGUUAUUUGAAUAUUUCUAGGUUGUAAACUUCUUCAACUAAAUAUUUUAUUAAUAAGUCAGAACCCAUUUUAAUGUGAAAUGUUUUGUCAUGAAAGCAAUGAAGUCUAACAAAUUUCAUUUAGAAACUCAUGUAAAAUAAACAAUUUGUGCUGAUUUUGUAUCUUUUCUGG
rnacentral:lncRNA from 1 species